ensembl:snRNA U6 U6 spliceosomal RNA
GUUCUCACUUCAGCAACACAUAUACUAAAAUUGAAAAGAUACAGAGAAGAUUAACAUGGCUCCUGUCUAAGGACGACACUAAAAUUUGCAAAGUACCACAUAUUGUU